CCAUGGAUAAAAGAAAGAGACUGGAUUGGCCUUGUGGGCGGGCCACGCGCGCCGAGGGUGCGAACGAACGUGCAUAGCGCUGUCUUAACGCUCAAAUGUUCAUACUUACCGGCUAGCAAUCGCUGUCAUGUUUUGACAGCGUACGUAUCUCCGCAAAAAUAUUAUAUUAUGCCGUCUUGCGCUAUUGUAACGUGUCGGAAAAGAAGCCAGGUGUGUAGCAUAGCACGAGAAGGAAUUUCUUUUCACCGGUUUCCAACAGAUCCAGGUGUAAGAAAAUUGUGGAUUGACACAACUGGUAGAAUUAAUUGGAUUCCUACUAAAUGUAGCAUAAUUCGUUCGCAACAUUUCGAUGUUGAUAAUUACAUAA